CUCGAUUGAACGCUGGCGGCGUGCUUAACACAUGCAAGUCGCGCGUGAAAGGACUUCGGUCCGAGUAAAGCGGCGCAGGGUGAGUAACGCGUGGAUGAUCUACCCAUGAGUUAGGAAUAACGACUGGAAACGGCGCUAAUACCGAAUACGCUCCGAUUUCAACUUCGGGGGAAAGGUGGCCUCUGCUUCAAGCUACUGCUCAUGGAUGAGUCCGCGUCCCAUUAGCUAGUUGGUGGGGUAACGGCCCACCAAGGCGACGAUGGGUAGCCGGUCUGAGAGGAUGACCGGCCACACUGGGACUGGAACACGGCCCAGACUCCUACGGGAGGCAGCAGUGGGGAAUAUUGCGCAAUGGCGAAAGCCUGACGCAGCGACGCCGCGUGAGGGAUGAAGGUCCUCGGAUCGUAAACCUCUGUCAGGAGGGAAGAACCGCCACGGUGCUAAUCAGCCGUGGUCUGACGGUACUCCAAAGGAAGCACCGGCUAACUCCGUGCCAGCAGCCGCGGUAAUACGGAGGGUCGAGCGUUAAUCGGAAUCACUGGGCGUAAAGCGCACGUAGGCUGCUUGGUAAGUCAGGGGUGAAAGCCCGCGGCUCAACCGCGGAAUUGCCUUUGAUACUGCCGAGCUAGAGUCCGGGAGAGGGUAGUGGAAUUCCAGGUGUAGGAGUGAAAUCCGUAGAGAUCUGGAGGAACAUCAGUGGCGAAGGCGACUACCUGGACACGGUACUGACGCUGAGUGGC
rnacentral:rRNA from 1 species